rnacentral:rRNA from 1 species
UAAUACGUAGGGGGCGAGCGUUGUCCGGAUUUAUUGGGCGUAAAGAGCGUGUAGGCGGCCAGGUAGGUCUGCUGUGAAAACUCGAGGCUCAACCUCGAGAGGUCGGCGGAAACCAUCUGGCUAGAGUCCGGAAGAGGAGAGUGGAAUUCCUGGUGUAGCGGUGAAAUGCGCAGAUAUCAGGAAGAACACCCGUGGCGAAGGCGGCUCUCUGGGACGGUACUGACGCUGAGACGCGAAAGCGUGGGGAGCAAACAGGAUUAGAUACCCUGGUAGUCCACGCCGUAAACGAUGGGUGCUAGGUGUGGGCGGUGUCGACUCCGUCCGUGCCGAAGCUAACGCAUUAAGCACCCCGCCUGGGGAGUACGGCCGCAAGGCU